GGCGUCAAAUUUGGUUGGUCCUUGAAUGCAUGGUGGGACCGUGGAAUAACUCCACCGGGUAAUCACUGAGGUUAAUUUAGGGGUCGGACUGGAGUUGUGUUUCUGGAAAACUGGCCGUAUAUUGUAUAUACAGUAGAGGGCAGAUUGAAGGUGAAGAGCCUGGGAGCAAGGAGAGGAAUCGAGAAUAUAGUGAAUCCUCCCUCCAGAGAAGCAACUAUAAGGAACCGAACCUGGGAGACAGAGUCUUACUCUGCUGUCCCAGGCUAGAGUGCUGUGGUGUUACCCUAGCUCACAGCAACCUCCAACUCUUGGAGUCAAGUGAUCCUCCUGCCUCAGCCUCCCAAGAGCCCCAGGAGUCACCGAGGAUGAUGUCAAGGAAUGACAAGUCUCCAGAACAGGGGAAGGAGAUUAACGAAAUGCCCAAAUUCAUCACCACCUACACCCCACCCUCACUUCAUGGUGCUGGAACUUCACAGAUGGACGUGCCCAGCUGGGUGUCCACCUCUCUGGUGAAUGCAAUCAUGCAACUAUUUAUUGGACUUAAAAAUGUGCAGGUGCUGUUUCUAGGAGCUGUGAAG